rnacentral:lncRNA from 1 species
GAAAUUUAUCCCGAGCCUGAAUAAAAUGGAAUCAAACAUUUUCCUACAGGCUAUUUUUUUUUCAAUAACUUCCUCCCCAGAUAACCCAAGGAUUCAAAAUGGUUUUCAGAGCCUCACCAUUGUCUUCACUUGACAGGAAAUAUGUAGACAGCCUUUGUUCCCAUGGAAAGUGUGAAGAACAUGAAUCUGACAAACCACACAGGAGGUAAUUUCCUCUUGGCAGAGUUUUCCACAGGUGCUGAAUUUCUUUAAUUUAUUUAUUUUUGUGGAGAGGGAGGUGGAAGAGGAUGGGCAUAAAAAGACGACUACUGGCUCAUCAUUUCAGUUGGAAGGGUUUCUCUGCAACAUUUUCUCUAGCUUUCUCUGCUUCACCUUCUCUUACAGGUAUCACUUUGUCCCUGCACUGUGAAGAUAACUGUCUGCUGGGUACGGCAGAGCACCUCUGUGUUUGGAAAGGUGCCAGCAGAGGCUGAGAGGCGGGAGGUGCAGUUCCUUCCUGGAGGAGCCAUAGGGGUAACCUUCCAAGAGACACGGCUUCACGUGAGCUGGAAAACCUUGCAUGGAUACGCUUGUUACUCACUCACAGUUGGCAGGAUCCUGUCUGUUCUGCCCACCCCUCCUCACUUGUUCUGUGUGCUGCUAAUGGACCAGAACCACGGCAGUUCUCAGGACGGCUUUGGUCGGCUCGCCCUUUCUAGUACUGUGACAAGGAGAUAAGGCAGAAAGCAGAGAUGGGAGGAGGGUGAGGGCCAGAGGGAAGAUUUGUGAGAUGAGGCAGAGAGAGGAGAAGAGCCGAUCGCCUUAAGAGGCUGGGCCAUGAGCAGGCUGAGACCAGACGCUGUGUGGUCUGGUGUGAUGGAUGGUUGGUCCCUCACGCCACCAGCUGUGACUUCGAGAGGCCUGGGUACCUGCUAGGUCCUCCUUUCUGGGCUUUUCUCGCUCCGGGCCUGGUGGCAGGCAAGGAGUACUGACUGUGCUGUGAAUAUGAAAUAUUUCUUUGCUAAGGGAAAGCGAGGGGAGACAAAGCAGGAUAUGUCAACAUCAGAGACAGUGUCUGCUGUCUUCCCCAUUCUUAUUGGCUAUCGGUUGUUUUGAAAUACGGGAUCUCUCCAGGUGACUAGCAUAUGUGCUCUCAGCUCUAAAUCAAAGGCACUAGAUAAAUCCAAUAAACAAAGAAAGAGUCUGGCGUAGAGGCUCAGUCUAUUUCAGGGUUGGCAGGUUGGUGAAUUUUCCACUGUAAGAUCACACCACUGUUUUCAAGGGAUUUAAAAUAUUACAAGUGAUAGUAGAGGCUGUGUCUCUAAAGAUUUGAACCAAUCAAAGUAAAUCUGGCAGGAUUGUUUUUUCUUGUUUUUUUUUUUUUUUUUUUUUUUUUUUUUUUCUGUUUUUUUUGGAGAUAACGUCUCACUCUGUCACACAAGCUGGAGUACAGUGGUGUGAUCAUGGCUCACUGCAGCUUCAACCUCCUGGGCUCAAGUGAUUCCCUGACCUCAGUCUUCCAAGUAGCUGGGACUACAAGCAUACACCAGUAUGCCUGGCUAAUUUUUUUUUUUUUUUUAGAGAUGGAGUUUUUCCAUGUUGCCCAGGCUGGUCUCAAACUCCUGAGCUCAAGCAGUCUUCCCAGCUUGGCCUCCCAAAGUGCUGGGAUUACAGGCGUGAGCCACCACGCCCGGCCAAAUAUGGCAUAUUUUAAAAGGCUAGAGCAGCGAUAUAAAAAUAUGAGCAUCUACAAAAUGUAUUGUCUGCAAAUACUUUGGCAUCAAUUGACCCAUCUUAGACAGUCUUCCUUUUCUCUUCACUCAUUCAUUCAACAAAUAUUUAUAGUACACUAUGUGCAAAGAAACAUGAAAGGCACACAAGAUUAGUAAGAUACUCUUUUUCCACAAGACAUUCGCAAAGUGAUGGGGAAGUAAGUAUGGGUUAAAUACAUUUAAAUAUUUAAUUUAAACAUUGGUUACACUAAGUUAAGGAAUGAAGUACAAACAUAGUACUAUAGGAAUCCAAAGUGCAAUCAUGAUCUGUUGGGAGG